GCUAUAUCCGAGUAUUGAUACAGUGCUCCAGCCUUCAGCAGCUGCGUACGAGACUUCACAGACAAUGGCAGCCCUUAAGUAAGCCGCUAAAGGUGUUGAGGAGGGAAAAAGGUGUUUGUUUACCUCUCGGCCGCCGCCGCGCCAGGGCGGCCAGCCGCCGAGGCGGUGUCGCGUUCCGCCGCAUCCUCCUGUUAUUACUGGUGACAGGUGUGCAGUGUAGGGGAGCGUGAGCACCUGCCAGGCCGCUCACAGUGAUAGAGCCCUCAAGUAGACUAAGAAGCUGUGUUGCCGAGGACCACGUCUGGCUCCAGCAGCUCAGAUGAGGAGGCGUCACGGUUCGGGGAGGCGUGUGACCCCACCCUGUGGAGGACGGCCGCGCAGGGAGCCGCCAAGAAUGAAAUCUGCAGAGCGGAGGCACCUGAUGAGAAGCCCCAGCCAAGGCGACCAGAGGCAGGCCUUCAUGCUGCUGGAGAAGAUGCGCACAACCCUUGCCGGGGCGCAGGGCAAGGCAGGGUGUGUGGGGCUGAGGCACAAGGAUGGCCAUGGCCCCGGCAUACAGGGCAGGCCAUCGUCAGGCAGGGCAGAGGCCAGCACAGCGAGGGCGGCCACGGCUGCCCCAUCCACACUCCCCCUUCCUGGCCAAGCAGCUCACCUCAAGACUGGACGGGAGUGUGGAGUACCAGGGUGACCAGGAGCACAGACUGACCAAGGAUGGCAGUGGUGUGGGUGGUGGUGGUGGUGGUGGUGGCCAGCCCCUCCAUCAUCCCCAACGCCUCCUGACUAACCUGCCGCUCGCCCCUCAAGGCAUCACUGACCCCACACACGCAGCAGCCAGAAGGAGCAGGCCGGACAGAAUCCCCGAGACUCUCCUACUUUGACGGCUGUGAUGCGUGACCAAGUGGUGUGUUGGUGCCUACCUCUGGCUGGCCGGCUGUUAUGAUAGAAUUAUGAAGAGCAAGCAGACAGCGCUGAAAGAACGGGGAAUUCUUCUUCUUCCACAAACAACUGCCAAUGAGAGAGUGAAGCGAUGAAUAACAGGGCACUGAAUAACAGGUAGCCACGCCCUGUAGAUUUUGUGUGACAUUUAUAAGAAGAACAUAAGAGCAUAAGAACAUAGGGAGACUGCAAGAGGCUGAAUGGCCUACACAGGGCAGCUCCAGAUUCCCCCCCACUGCCACCUGUCAUCCUCGUCCAUGUAGCUAUCAAGUCUACUCAUAAAACAAGCUGUCAUCCCUGCACUCACUAGUAUGUGAUUGCUGAGUCUAUUCCAUUCCCCCAUCACCCUAUUACUAAGCCAAGGCCUGCCUAGUUCCCUCCUAAUUCUAUACUUUUCUAAUUUAAAUCCAUUACUGUGUGUUCUAUCCUGGUGGCAGUGUGGGUUGCCUGCUGCCAGCACGUCAUCUGGGAGACACACUCGGGUGGCAGUGAGAGGCUGAAGGCGCAGUGCAGGGGUGUGGUGGUGCCCUCAGAGUGGAUUCUGUCCGGGCAGGCGGUGCACCCCAGGCCACACCCCAAGAACGUCAGGAAUUUGGAGGAGUACAAGUUGAAGGAACGGUGCGCCGACGGAACCAUUGUAGCCGUGCCGUGCGCCCUGCCAGACAACACCAACACCAACACCACUGCAGGGAAAAAGAAGAAAAAGAAAUGUGUGGUGUGUGUGUCUCAGGCUGGGAAGGAAGACGCCACAUUAUCACACCAGGAGGAAUCGCUCAAUAGCCUUCAGAACGAUGGUGUCAGUGAGGGCUCAAGGACAAAGAGGCGAGGUGUGGUGUGUGUGUGUCUCAGGCUGGGAAGGUAGACAGUGUAUUAUCACACCAGGAGGAAUCACCCACUGGCCUUCAGAACGGUGGUGUCAGUGAGGGUUCAAGGACAAAGAGAAGGAGAGGUGAGGUGUGUGUGUCUCAGGCUGGGGAGGAAGAGGAAGGAACUAUACAGGAGAAGCAGGAGGAAGCAUUUAAUGGCCUCACGAAUGGUGGUUCUGGCUCAAGUACCGACGUGAGGAAGCAGAGGAAGCAAACUCGAAGGAGAGGAAAGAAGAAGAAGUUGAAGGGAGGCGAUGAAGUGGCUGUACCUUAGAGGAAGAACAGGGAUGAAUAGAACAUGAAAAAACACUAGUUACCCCUCACAAUGGCAGCGUUGACUCAAGUACUGACGUGAGGAAACAGGAAGCAAACCCAAAGGAGAGGGAAGAAGUUGAAGGGAGGCGAUGAAGUGGCCGUAACUUAGAGGAAGAACAGGGACAGAUAGAACAUGAAAAAACACUAGUUACCCCUCACAAUGGCAGCGUUGACUCAGGUACUGACAUGAGGAAGCAAACCGGAAGGAGAAGGAAGAAAAAGUUGAAGGAAGGCAAUGAAGUGGCCGUACCUUUGAGGAAGAACGUGGAUGGAUACAACAUAAAAAAAAAAAACACUAGUUACCCCUCACAGUGGCAGUGUUGGCUCAAGUAUUGACGUGAGGAAACAAACCCGAAGGAGAGGGAAGAAGAAGAAGUUGAAGGGAGGCGAUGAAGUGGCGGUACCUUAGAGGAAGAACAGGGACAGAUAGAACAUGAAGGAAGAAGAAAACACUAGUUACCCCUCACAGUGACAGCACUAGUGAAAGGAAGAGAAAGAAGGUGGAACAGGGAGUUAUGUGGCUUGUGUGUGUUGAACUUAAGAAGGCACACACUGCAGGGUUUGAACAGGAAGAAAUGCUUGCCUCACAAUGACAGCACUAGUGAAAGGAAGAGAAAGAAGACAAAACAGAGGGAGUGUAGUGUGGCUUGUGUGUGUUGAACUUAAGAAGGGACACACUGCAGGGUUUGAACAGGAAGAAACGCUUACCUCACAAUGACAGCACUAGUGAAAGGAAGAGAAAGAAGACAAAACAGAGGGAGUGUAGUGUGGCUUGUGUGUGUUGAGCUUAGAAGGAAGACACUGCAGGUUUGAACAAAGAAAAACACUUACUGACGAUGGCUGAGUGGUCGGUGCCUGGAUGCCAUGACCCCAAGGACCCAGGCUCAAUUCCCUCCGCAAGACACUGACAAUUCUUAACCAUCGGCGAGUGGUGGAAUAUUACCCACAUGCUGCCCAGGUCUUCAAUCAACCUUGACUUCAGCGACUUAGGUCAAGAGGAGCACCGGGGGGCAGCAUGGGCCAAGCAGAGUCAUACAUCACAGCAGCCACUAUAAAUUAAAUUUGCCUGUGCCACGAACGGACUGGGGUCUUCCAAGUGGUCCCUCGAGAGAGUCUACUGGUGCUAUAGGCAGAGGAGAAGGAAGAGGAAAAAUGAAAAGAGGAAGAAUUCUGUGGCACUGGUGAAGGAGCAGGAGGAGGAAGAGGAUAAAAAUGGUGAAGGAGCAGAAGGAGGAAGAGGAUAAAAAUGGUGAAGGAGCAGAAGGAGGAAGAGGAUAAAAAUGAAAGAUAAAGAAAUCUGCAGCUACAAUGGAAGAGAGAAAACACAGAAAAAGAGACACAUGAAGAGACUGAAGGAAAGGGAAUGGACAGUUACGACAAGAAGAAGCACUUAAUAGUCCUUAUAAUGGUGGCACUGCUGAAGGAGAAGAAGAAGGAAGAGGAAGAAAGGAAAGAGAAGGAAAUAUGUACCUUGUGAUUUUGGGCUGUGAAGAAGCUGGAGGAAGGCAAGGUAAUGGCAGGACCUUGAGGGAAGAGAACAGACAGUCAAUUACAAGAAGAAGAAGCACUUACUAAUCUACAGAAUGGUGGCACUGCUGAAGGAGAAGAAGGAAGAGGAAAAAUAAAAGAGAGAAAUCUGUGCCUUGUGAUUUUGGGCCGUGAAGAAGCUGAAGGAAGGCAAAGUAAUGGAGGGAAGAGAACAAACAGUCAAUUACAACAAGAAGAAGCACUUUACUAAUCUACAGAAUGGUGGCACUGCUGAAGGAGAACACAAAAGAACACAAAGGAAGAACAAACAACAGCAGACCUGCUGGUCCUUACGAGGCUGUUUGUGACAAGCUACACUAACCAUCUAAUCAAAGGUGGAAGAUGAAGGACAGCAAAGGCGAAGGCUCCUCCCCACCCCCCAUCCCUCCAGCCAAAGCUGGCAGGAAAGGAAAAAGAAACAUGCAGCAUGGAAAAACUGCAUGGAAAUUAUGUAGGAAAGAGGAAAGAACUACCAUUACUGCUACCACAAACCGGGCGAUAAAAGCGGACAAGGACAAGAGGAUAGAAGGAAGAAGAGGAAAAAGGAAAGAGAAAGAAAUCUGUGCCUUGUGAAUUUUAUGCUGUGACAGUUACAAUAGGAAUUACACUUACUCUCCUUCACAGUGCUGGCAUGUGCUCAAAUUAUGACACACAAAGGAAACAGUCGCCUUCACCAUUACUCUUUCCUUCCUCUCCACUCUUACAAACACUUCUCCCUCUCCCUCCCUCCCAGCCAAACACUGUCAUGGAGCCAUCUGGUCCCAUAAAGCACUAGUGGAAACAAUCGCCUUCACCAUUACUUUUUCCUGUCUCUCCACUCUUACAAACACUUCUCCCUCCCAGCCAAACACUGUCAUGGAGCCAUCUGGUCCCAUAAAGCACUAGUGGAAACAGUCGCCUUCACCAUUACUUUUCCUUCCUCUCCACUCUUACAAACACUUUCCUCUCCCUCCCUCCCAGCCAAACACUGUCAUGGAGCCAUCUGGUCCCAUAAAGCACUAGUGGAAACAGUCCCUUCACCAUUACUUUUCCUUCCUCUCCACUCUUACAAACACUUCUCCCUCCCAGCCAAACACUGUCAUGGAGCCAUCUGGUCCCAUAAAGCACUAGUGGAAACAGUCGCCUUCACCAUUACUUUUUCCUGUCUCUCCACUCUUACAAACACUUCUCCCUCCCAGCCAAACACUGUCAUGGAGCCAUCUGGUCCCAUAAAGCACUAGUAUUUUUAGAAUGGCAAAAACAUGUAU